rnacentral:rRNA from 1 species
AUUGAACGCUGGCGGCAGGCCUAACACAUGCAAGUCGAACGAGUGGCGGACGGGUGAGUAAUGUCUGUGAACCUGCCUGAUGGAGGGGGAUAACUACUGGAAACUGUAGCUAAUACCGCAUACCAUCAGAUGUGCCCAGAUGGGAUUAGCUUGUUGGUGGGGUAACGGCUCACCAAGGCGACGAACCCUAGCUGGUCUGAGAGGAUGACCAUCCACACUGGAAUUGAGACACGGUCCAGACUCCUACGGGAGGCAGCAGUGGGAAAUAUUGCACAAGGGGCGCAAGCCUGAGGCAGGCAUGCCGCGUGUAUGAAGAAGGCCGUCGGGUUGUAAAGUACUUUCAGCGGGGAGGCGUUACCCGCAGAAGAAGCACCGGCUAACUCCGUGCCAGCAGCCGCGGUAAUAC